AUGGAGUACAACCAAAGAGUUUUAUUUUGGAAUGUGCGGGGCCUCAACUGCCCAGCUAAGCGUAGCGCUGUACGCUCCGUCAUCCGGCCAGCCAACCCGUGUAUCGUGUGCCUUCAGGAAACAAAGAUCGCUGUCGUCUCGUCGUCCCUUGUGCGCGAUACGCUGGGCGCCUCGUUUGCCCACUAUUUCUUCCUCCCGGCCACGGAGACACGCGGUGGCAUCCUCCUCGCAUGGCAGAGCGACAUCGUCUCCCUCUCCCACCCUACCAUUGCCGACCACUUCAUUAACGCGUUGGUGACACCACGCGAUGGCAGCCCACAUUGGUGGGUGACAGGGGUUUACGGGCCACAAGAGGAACCGGACAAGAUUUCCUUCCUCGCCGACCUUCAUGACACGAGAUCUUGCUGCGUCAGGCCUUGGCUAGUCGGGGGCGACUUCAACAUGAUUGCGAGCGCCGAGGACAAGAACAACGGGAACCUGCACCGGGCUGCCAUGCGCCGCUUUAGAAACUUCAUCGCCGACGAGGAGCUCUAG
rnacentral:rRNA from 1 species